rnacentral:rRNA from 1 species
UACGUAGGGAGCGAGCGUUGUCCGGAAUUACUGGGUGUAAAGGGAGCGUAGGCGGGGAUGCAAGUUGGGUGUUAAAUCUACCGGCUCAACUGGUAGUCGCACUCAAAACUGCAGCUCUUGAGUGAAGUAGAGGCAGGCGGAAUUCCUAGUGUAGCGGUGAAAUGCGUAGAUAUUAGGAGGAACACCAGUGGCGAAGGCGGCUUACUGGACUGUAACUGACGUUGAGGCCCGAAAGCGUGGGGAGCAAACAGG